rnacentral:misc_RNA from 1 species
CACAGUAUAAGGGUCUAGUACCCCCACUCUAUGUGUGGGGAGGCCCGGCAGCUCCUCCUUAUCCCCUGCUCAUGCCGAGCCGCCUCCUGUCGCGACACAGUCAAGCGCCUACGACAUAGCGAGGCCAGAGCGAUGUAUCGUUGCUGAUGCCGGUGGUGAGGUCCUGGAGGGCGUUGCGCCUGAGCGACCUGCGACAGCGAGCACGCUUGUGCCAUACAUGCGGUUAGGCGAAGCGUAAGCGUGACUUGAACGUAUGCCACCCCCCGGCCCUUGCUGCCGUUGCUGGUGUGGUGGCGAGCCUGAGCGCCACCGCGAGGGGGAUGUGCGAGGUGGCGACCUGCAUGAUGGCAGUUGCUGCGAAGCGAUCUGCGAGGCGGGUGGGCAAAGCUGGAGGUUGGGGCCGUGCUCGGAUGGCCGAGUCGGCGCAUCGCUGUAACGCACGCGUGUGUCUAGCGCUGCUUCGCACACACGCGGAUGUGUGUGUGCGUGGGGGGGGGAGGCGCCUGGUGACAGGGCCUGGUAGGGUAGCGUGUGAGUAUCAUCAAAUGUUUGAAGACAGAGAAAUGGACGUGUUGAGCAG